rnacentral:rRNA from 1 species
UACGGGGGGGGGGCAAGCGGUUGUUCGGAAUUACUGGGCGUAAAGGGCUCGUAGGCGGCCCAACUAAGUCGGAUGUGAAAUCCCCCAGGCUCAACUUGGGAACUGCAUCCGAUACUGGAUGGCUUGAAUUCGGGAGAGGGAUGCAGAAUUCCAGGUGUAGCGGUGAAAUGCGUAGAUAUCUGGAGGAACACCGGUGGCGAAGGCGGCAUCCUGGACCAACACUGACGCUGAGUGAGCGAAAGCCAGGGAGCAAACAGG